GACGAACGCUGGCGGCGUGCUUAACACAUGCAAGUCGAACGGAAAGGCCCUGCUUUUGUGGGGUGCUCGAGUGGCGAACGGGUGAGUAACACGUGAGUAACCUGCCCUUGACUUUGGGAUAACUUCAGGUAACUGGGGCUAAUACCGGAUAGGAGCUCCUGCUGCAUGGUGGGGGUUGGAAAGUUUCGGCGGUUGGGGAUGGACUCGCGGCUUAUCAGCUUGUUGGUGGGGUAGUGGCUUACCAAGGCUUUGACGGGUAGCCGGCCUGAGAGGGUGACCGGCCACAUUGGGACUGAGAUACGGCCCAGACUCCUACGGGAGGCAGCAGUGGGGAAUAUUGCACAAUGGGCGGAAGCCUGAUGCAGCAACGCCGCGUGCGGGAUGACGGCCUUCGGGUUGUAAACCGCUUUCGCCUGUGACGAAGCGUGAGUGACGGUAAUGGGUAAAGAAGCACCGGCCAACUACGUG
rnacentral:rRNA from 1 species